rnacentral:rRNA from 1 species
UACAGAGGUCCCAAGCGUUGUUCGGAUUCACUGGGCGUAAAGGGUGCGUAGGUGGUCGGGUAAGUCUGAUGUGAAAUCUCCAAGCUUAACUUGGAAAUGGCAUUGGAUACUAUUCGGCUAGAGGGUUUGAGGGGGGACUGGAAUACUUGGUGUAGCAGUGAAAUGCGUAGAUAUCAAGUGGAACACCAGUGGCGAAGGCGAGUCCCUGGAAAACUCCUGACACUGAGGCACGAAAGCUAGGGGAGCAAACAGG